rnacentral:lncRNA from 10 species
CUGGAUCAUGGGAGCACUUUCCCCCAUGCUGUUCUUAUGAUAGUGAGUGAGUUCUCAAGAGAUCUGAUGGUUUUAUAAGCAUCUGGCAUUUCUCCCACUGGCAUUCAUUCUCUCUCCUGCUGCCCUGUGAAGAGGAGCCUUCAGCCAUGAUUUUAAGUUUCCUGAUGCCUCCCCAGCUAUGCAGAACUAUUUUUGCAUUUCUGACUACUGAUGGCUCCACCUGAACUCAUGAACUGGUCCUGUGGCUCCCACCCAGGAACCAACUCAGUGCAAGAGGAUGGCUUCGACUCUAUGAUUUCAUCUAUCACCCAACCAAUCAGAACUCCCCACUCCUUGGCCUCCUACCCACCAAACUAUCCUUGAAAAGCCCUAGUCUCUGAACUUUUGAGGGGACCAAUUUGAGUAAUAAUAAAGCUCCAGGCUCCCAUUCAG